rnacentral:rRNA from 1 species
UGGGGAAUUUUGGACAAUGGGCGCAAGCCUGAUCCAGCCAUGCCGCGUGCGGGAAGAAGGCCUUCGGGUUGUAAACCGCUUUUGUCAGGGAAGAAAUCUUCUGAGUUAAUACCUCGGGAGGAUGACGGUACCUGAAGAAUAAGCACCGGCUAACUACGUGCCAGCAGCCGCGGUAAUACGUAGGGUGCAAGCGUUAAUCGGAAUUACUGGGCGUAAAGCGUGCGCAGGCGGUUUUGUAAGACAGAGGUGAAAUCCCCGGGCUCAACCUGGGAACUGCCUUUGUGACUGCAAGGCUUGAGUGCAGCAGAGGGGGAUGGAAUUCCGCGUGUAGCAGUGAAAUGCGUAGAUAUGCGGAGGAAACACCGAUGGCGAAGGCAAUCCCCUGGGCCUGCACUGACGCUCAUGCACGAAAGCGUGGGGAGCAAACAGGAUUAGAUACCCUGGUAGUCCACGCCCUAAACGAUGUCAACUGGUUGUUGGGAAGGUUCCUUCUCAGUAACGUAGCUAACGCGUGAA